rnacentral:rRNA from 1 species
AGAGUUUGAUCCUGGCUCAGAUUGAACGCUGGCGGCAUGCUUUACACAUGCAAGUCGAACGGUAACGCGGGGGCAACCCUGGCGACGAGUGGCGAACGGGUGAGUAAUACAUCGGAACAUGUCCUGGAGUGGGGGAUAGCUCGGCGAAAGCCGGAUUAAUACCGCAUACGCUCUGAGGAGGAAAGCGGGGGACCUGGUAACGGGCCUCGCGCUGCAGGAGUGGCCGAUGUCGGAUUAGCUAGUUGGUGAGGUAAAGGCUCACCAAGGCGACGAUCCGUAGCUGGUCUGAGAGGAUGAUCAGCCACACUGGGACUGAGACACGGCCCANACUCCUACGGGAGGCAGCAGUGGGGAAUUUUGGACAAUGGGGGCAACCCUGAUCCAGCCAUGCCGCGUGAGUGAAGAAGGCCUUCGGGUUGUAAAGCUCUUUCGGACGGGACGAAAUGGUUAUGGUGAAUAUCCAUGACUGAUGACGGUACCGUAAUAAGAAGCACCGGCUAACUACGUGCCAGCAGCCGCGGUAAUACGUAGGGUGCGAGCGUUAAUCGGAAUUACUGGGCGUAAAGCGUGCGCAGGCGGUUCGCCAAGUCAGGUGUGAAAUCCCCGGGCUUAACCUGGGGAUUGCGCUUGAAACUAGCGAGCUUGAGUGUGGCAGAGGGGGGUGGAAUUCCACGUGUAGCAGUGA